CAUAUCAAUAAGCGGAGGAAAAGAAACCAACAGGGAUUGCCUUAGUAACGGCGAGUGAAGCGGCAAAAGCUCAAAUUUGAAAUCUAGUACCUUCGGUGCUCGAGUUGUAAUUUGAAGAUAGUUUUCUGGCGUUGGCCCUUGUCUAUGUUCCUUGGAACAGGACGUCAUAGAGGGUGAGAAUCCCGUCUGAUGGGGUGUCCAAUGCUUUGUAGAUUUCUAUCGAAGAGUCGAGUUGUUUGGGAAUGCAGCUCUAAGUGGGUGGUAAAUUCCAUCUAAAGCUAAAUACUGGCGAGAGACCGAUAGCGAACAAGUACAGUGAUGGAAAGAUGAAAAGAACUUUGAAAAGAGAGUGAAAAAGUACGUGAAAUUGUUGAAAGGGAAGGAUAUUGGAUCAGACUUGGUGUUUUGUGAUUAUCUUCCCUUCUUGGGUUGUGCACUCGCAUUUCACUGGGCCAGCAUCGGUUCGGAUGGCAAGAUAAUGGCUUGGGAACGUGGCACCCUUCGGGGUGUGUUAUAGCCCUUGUUGAUGUUGCCUAUCUGGACCGAGGACUGCGGCUUCUGCCUAGGAUGCUGGCGUAAUGAUUCAAUAUCGC
rnacentral:rRNA from 1 species